GUCGCCCCUCUCCCUCCUCUCCCUCCUCCUCCUCCUCCUCCUCCUCCUUUUCCAGUUCAGCGGCGCAAAUUUCUGUUUGUGCCAGUGGGGCGGCCUGGCGAGACCGCAAUUGCUCUACCCCACAGAUUGACGAGCCCUCAGAUGCCGAUUUACUGUACAUGGCAGCCACGCUGGAGCCGCGGCACAUCUGGAGUGGAGUAAGCUUACUCAGAAACAGGGGCCAGCUCCAGCCGGAGCCAGCGGGGCCGAGCGCGGCGCUGAAAGGCAGCCCUCCUGCCUCCCCUUCCCUCCUCCCCGGAUCCCAGUAGGAAAGGGCCAAAAUUCCCUGUGAAACAUCUUGCCCAGGCCUCAGCCUUCUCACCAGGGGAAGCGUUACCUGCUUAUGGCUGCUUAGAAACCACUCAAGGUGAAAUUCCGUAAGGAGGGGACUCUGCAUGGGAGAGGUGUUGGUCAGCAUGGAAAGACUGAAUUGCACAUCUCCAAGAUCCAGAACGACCUUUCUGUGCCUGAAGUCAGGAGCAGCAUCAUGGGUCCAGGGGGAAAUGCAGGCAUGGCCCACCAUUUUCCAUAAUCUAGGUGACUACUGAGAUGGAUAAAAUGGUUUCUUUGUAGUGAAAUGAUAUAUUUGGAAAAAAACUCCAUGUCUACACAGAAAGGCUGAUGGAACCAGUCUCCAAAGCAAAACUGUUUGGCAAACUUUGAGAGAGAUCUUGGCAGUUGACUGAAAGCUAAAGUUUUUAAGGGACAGUUGGAUUUUAACUGAGUUCUUCUAGAAGCCUGCAGGGCUCUGCUGGCAGACCAUUGCUCAACCUUUUGACUGCCUGGGUGGAGGAUUGAUGGCCUAUCAUUGCAGGAUGGCCCACCAAGUAGUCUACCUUUGAACUAAAGACCUCAGGCCUUCCAGGUUUCAAAACUGGGACAACACUUGUUUUGAAACAUUUUUGAUGUGUUUUGGUAUUCAUUGGAAAUAUUUUUAUGAGUUACCAAAUCCUGACCCCAAAAAGUGUUCCAUAGGAGUUUUUUAAACAGCUCUAUUCUAGUCUAAGUUUAAUGACCCUGAGGGGAAAAAAAAGUUUCUCCAUAAAGGAGAAAUAAAACAAUCCAGUGAAUUAGUCUGAAGCAGUACUUCUCUGACCCUUACUUACUGGGCAAGCGUGCCUGUAAUCCCACUGGUGUCCUUGGACAUCCAGUUUGGUUGGGCUCAGUUACAGAGUUCUAGUCCUAAUUUUAAACAUGAUAUCUUGGUAGGAAUUGUUUAAGUGUGUUUUUUUCCCCCCCAUUUCUUUUAGCGCACAGUUGAAGUUGAUUCAGCUCCCUGUUUUGCACUAAUGCCAAAAGUGUCCAUGAAGUCUUGAAAUGAAAUAAUCUUGGUAGAUGACUACGCAUCCUACUGAUUAUGCUAUUGUUAUUAUAUUAAUAGCAUGCACUCCAACUGAAGCAAUGUGCAGGUGCAAAACUCUCAUUCAGCAGUACAUAGCUCUUUCAUCUGCCAUUUCUUGCCAGUAGAUUUCCUGCUUGUAUGAAUGUUUCUUGUGAAAUUUCUGGAGAAUAGCUGUUGGAGUUUUGCCAGUUGUAAGAAAACAAAUGCACAAACAACCCACUUCCAAAACUCAACCAACUCCCCCUUCCUGAGUCAUCUCUUUUUGAAAUUACUAAUUCAUGAUAGAUAUUCUGCAUCUAACAAAAAUUACCAAUUAUGACAAAAUAAACAGUGUGGAAUAAUUUAAGAAAGGCAAAAGUAAAAACUCUCCUAGUUGUGCCAAUAAUGUAGCCUCAGUGUGCCUGUGUGUUGCCAUUUAACGCAGUACACGUGGUUAGCUCGCUUUAAAUAUGUGCCCAUGCCUGUCCUCAGUCAUUCACUCUGUAACAAUUCCUUAGAAUCCUACCCAUAUAUAUUGAGUUCAAAAGACAAUUGGUCUUUGCAAAUAAUAAUCAAGUUUUAGAGAAACCUUAACUAUGUGGGUUUUUUUUUAGGUAAGCAAGACUUAAUCUGCACAGAUGCUCAAACAGUAGUGAAAUCUGUGGACUAGCAUUCAGAAACUAUAUUUAUUCCAGUAGGCUUCAUGCUUCAUGACCAUCAGUCAGAAAUGAAGGCAGAAGAGCACUUUGAGAAUCGGAUGGGAUUUAAGGGUUUGAAAAAUGUAUCAGUAGGUGUUAGCCUGCAAAAACAUAUGUGUGUGGGAAGAGGGCAGUUGAACUAACCCAGGUAUUAAUACUGUAUUUUAAAAGGCAAUAGAUCCCUUUAACAUCUAAAUAAACGGAGAAAUCUGCCUAGAAGUAAAAAAAAGGAAUUUCCAGUUUCAAGUGUGUUAUAUCCUUUCAACAGAAUUAUUUACAGUAUAUCUUUUCCAUGUUUUUUACAAAAUGUUAUUGACAUCUGAAUGGUAUUUCAGCAUAUUAUGACAGAUCUGAAAGUCAAACACCAAUAUUUGCAAUAUUUUUGACCCCAGAAUAAACUGUAAAAAAUUA